CGUUCCAUGGCCAAACUGGUCAAGGCAUCGCCGAUUAUAAACGAAGAUGCGGGUUCUAGUCCCGCUGGAUCGA
rnacentral:tRNA from 1 species